rnacentral:lncRNA from 1 species
UCUGUGCUCUCAAAUAUUUGGAAAAAUUUUGGUUACACGAUGUUAAACAUCUUUCUUCAACCCUCCAAAGAGGGUGCUGCAGUGGCUGUUAAUUUGUUAAUUGGCAUUGUGAAUCUGGGAGACUGGGCCACAUAGUGUACAGUGGUUUCCCAAAAUAUGUAGUCACUGAGUUUUUUCAAACUCACUUUCUAACACUCUGGGAAUAUUUUCCAAGGAACAUGAGUUUCGAAAUGCUCCUUUGGGACUUACGUACCGCCCAGAACUCCUGCAACAUUCCCUAGUCAAUUGACUGUUUUAUACCUCCAGUCUGACCUCAAGCUUCCAAUGCCUUGUCUCCUAUGCUUGCUUCUUUUUUCCCUAAGAAAACAGAAGCCCCUAGGAGUGAUUUUGCACACAUACUUUCACAGCUCAGCUACCCAUCUUCUGAUAGCUCUGCCUUUCCUCCUCCUACCAUGGGUAAACCAUCACUGGUCCUAUCUAAAGCCAACUCCUCCAUUUUGAGCUUCUUUAUCUUCUCACCCAUUUAUGUAUAUUGCUCCAAUAAUUGUUUUCUCACUUCUUUUUUUUCUUUUUUUUUGAGACAGAGUCUCACUCUGUCGCCCAGGCUGGAGUGCUCAGGUGUGAGCCACCACCCCCGGCCUGUUCUCUCACUUUUGCAUCACUAGUUUUUCCUUCUCCACUGAAUUCCUCCCUUCAGCAUACAACAUGCUAUAAUUUAUCCAGUCUUAGAAAAUAAAUUUAAAAACCAUUCUCCUGACCUCACAGUUUCCUCCAGCUCCCAUCCCAUUUCUCUGUUCUUUGUCACAAUGAAAGUCUGCCAAAACUGCUCUUUUUUUUUUUUUUUUUUUUUUUCUGUACUCAAUUUCUCUCCUCCCAUCUUCUCUGGAAACAAAUUCAGUAAGACUUUCACUCCCCCCCCACCCCACCCCGCACUCUGCUUACUAAAUCUGCAUUGGCUAAGGUCAACAACAAUUAACUCUAGUGUUUAAACUAGUGGUAAACACUAAACUUCAUCAUCUUGACCUAUAAGCAGCACCUGGCACUGAUUGAUAGCUCAAGAAGGUGGAGUUUAACACAACCCUGAUAGUUAAAGAGAUAGUUUAGCACCUUGUCCUCCUUGAAACAUUUUCCUUCUCUUGCCUUCCAGAGAACCCACAUUCUCCAGUUUUUUUGUUUUGUUUUGUUUUGUUUUGAUGCUCUGAUCUUGUCAGUGUUGGAGUGUUCAUGUUUAUUCUUGGAUCUCUUUUGUUUUUGUUUUGAAAUGGAGUC